rnacentral:pre_miRNA from 1 species
CAGAUUUGCUUCUUCUCUUUCAUGCCUUGAGUGUAGGACCGUUGAGAUCGUAAUUACCCUCCCACACCCAAGGCUUGCAGGAGAGCAAGCCUCUC